rnacentral:tRNA from 1 species
GCGAGCGUGGUGAAAUUGGUAGACACGCUAGACUUAGGAUCUAGUGCCUUCGGUGUGGGAGUUCGAGUCUCCCCGCUCGCA